CUGAAACUUAGCUGUAAUAACUCAGUGACUCUUCGGCUCUUAUUCAUAUUAUAAACCCUCGAUCACAACAAGAUCCGACCCACAUCUAUUGCUUCAAUUGCCCUUCAGUCUACCUAGAUCUUCAAUUCAGAAGCCUGAAACCUAACGCUUCUUUUUCCACCUCUCCAUCGAUUUAAUGCUCCACCGUUAUGGUAUACAAUCAACACAACCCAGUAGUUCCUCUUUCUCUUCUUUCACUGGAUGUUUAAUUCUUCGUUCCUGAUCCUUUUCCAGAGUAUAUAUAACCUUUUCAUUGGCCUCUCAAACGCAUGUACUUCCUUCUGUUUCCUUUUUAUUUGCGCGCUUAGAGAUUCUGUACAAGAAUGGCUACUUCACAACUCCAUUCGUCCAACUUGAAGGUAGGCGGGUGCAGGCAGGUUGUACAGACGCGACUCCUCCGUUUUUGGGAGUCUCGCAAUGUCGAAAAAGGAGAAGAGAGAGUUCUUUCAUGAUUUGGCUCUGCUAUUGUGGCACUCUGUUGGUUCCUGCUCUUCUACAGGCACUCUUCGUCCAUUGAAGCUGUCUGGAACCUUUACAUGGCGAAACAGAACCAAACUAUCACAGUGACACUUUAGUGGUUGGGAUUAGGAAGAAGGCGAUGGAAGAAGUUCUCUUGAGCUGGUAUAAACAAAAUUCUUAAAAGUUCAUAACAUAUUAUUAGCCUAGAUUUUUCCAUGCAUUUUCUUAGCUUUUCGAAACAGAUAAUAUUAGCCUGGGGAAGGCAGAGAUGGGUGCAUAUCAAUGUAGGAAAGCUCAAGAAUCACUGUCUCAGGCCACGCUUCCCAUAAGUUUCUGAGACAGCUUACUGGAAACUUUGGAAAAAACAAUGAGGUCAAAAUGGAUUUUAAUCCCAACCAGAGGUGUAACUAUCUCAUAUUAUUUCAUCCUAAUUCGGCUUGGUUACGUUGGCUUAGAGGAGGGUCCCAUUUCUCGCGUAAAAGUGAUAGUUAACCAUUCAGCCUUUCUCAACCAAGUAUCCCCUUCCCUUAUUAAAGAAAUUUGAUAAUGAAAUGAGGCAGGCUGUACUAGCACUAGCAGUGUGUUCAAAAGAGUUUGGCUCUUGGUAGGCAAGACGGUCUUUUUUUUUGUUACGAAAUCCAUGUAAAAUGCUAAAUUGUUCAACAGAUCAGGACGGUACUCUUUUCUGAUUGUUGCUAGGAUGGUAGCACAUGCGACAGAGUUAUUGAUAGUUGGAAGCGAUGAAGGAGAAGUGUUUGCACAUGAGGAGCAGCAAAAUUUGGGUGGAAUCAACAUGGAAAAGCUCCAUAGACUUGACUAUGCUCAAGUCUUUCUUCUUAUGCUCUGACUCUGAAGUCCUUUUUUUGCGGAUAGCUCCUUUUAUCUAUCAUCUUGCACAAAACAGGAAUUAGGCUUUUUAAACUGUUGUUCUGUUGGCAGCCACCACAAGAAAAUCAGUUGCUUUUAGUGUGAAAAUUGUCUCUCUCAUACAUUGUUACUUUGUCAAGUUAUGCCAUUUUAAUUAAAAAAUUGUGUGUUCGUA